GGCGGAUGCAGGUUGGCAUUGUAGCUUUUGUUUCCGCCACAUUAGUGAUUUUAUAUUCAAGAUGAAAGCUUACAGCCACAGUGAUAGAGUGAGGUUUUCACAUUAUCUGAACCCUACAAGGAUUCAGGAUGUCAUUUGUAAAGGAGCUGAUUUAUAUGACAUGCUUCCUGAGGAGUACACGUUCAAGGAUAUUAUCGGCAA
rnacentral:misc_RNA from 1 species